rnacentral:rRNA from 1 species
AUUGAACGCUGGCGGCAGGCCUAACACAUGCAAGUCGAGCGGAUGAAGGGAGCUUUCUCCUGGAUUCAGCGACGGACGGGUGGGUAAUGCCUAGGAAUCUGCCUGGUAUUGGGGGAUAACGUCCGUAAACGGGCGCUAAUACCGCAUACGUCCUGAGGGAGAAAGGGGGGGAUCUUCGGACCUCACGCUAUCAGAUGAGCCUAGGUCGGAUUAGCUAGUUGGUGGGGUAAAGGCCUACCAAGGCGACGAUCCGUAACUGGUCUGAGAGGAUGAUCAGUCACACUGGAACUGAGACACGGUCCAGACUCCUACGGGAGGCAGCAGUGGGGAAUAUUGGACAAUGGGCGAAAGCCUGAUCCAGCCAUGCCGCGUGUGUGAAGAAGGUCUUCGGAUUGUAAAGCACUUUAAGUUGGGAGGAAGGGCAGUAAGUUAAUACCUUGCUGUUUUGACGUUACCAACAGAAUAAGCACCGGCUAACUUCGUG